CCUACGGGAGGCAGCAGUGAGGAAUAUUGGUCAAUGGGCGGGAGCCUGAACCAGCCAAGUCGCGUGAGGGAAGACGGUCCUAUGGAUUGUACACCUCUUUAGGCGGGGAGCAAUGCCGGGCCCGCGUGCCAGGAGGGAGAGUACCCGCAGAAUAAGCCACGGCUAACUACGUGCCAGCAGCCGCGGUAAUACGUAGGUGGCAAGCGUUAUCCGGAUUUACUGGGUGUAAAGGGCGUGUUGGCGGGACUGCCAGUCAGAUGUGAAUACCACGGGCUCAACCUGUGGCCUGCAUUUGAAACUGGAGUUCGUGAGUACGGGAGAGGCAGACGGAAUUCCGAGUGUAGCGGUGAAAUGCGUAGAUAUUAGGAGGAACACCAGUGGCGAAGGCGGUCUGCUGGACAGCAACUGACGCUGAGGCGCGAAAGCGUGGGGAGCAAACAGGAUUAGAUACCCGUGUAGUC
rnacentral:rRNA from 1 species